rnacentral:SRP_RNA from 1 species
UCGUGCUAGACGGGGCGUUAGCGGUGCCCUGAACCCGAAAUCCGCUAUAGCGGGGUUGAAUUCCCCCUCGAGGGUGUCCAGCUUCCGGUCAGGUUCGGGACGACGGGUGUUGACAGCCGGGUCCUGCGCAACGGGGACUUCCGAACCAUGUCAGGCCUUGACGGGAGCAGCAUUAAGGGACCAUCCCCGUGUGCCGCAGGGUAGCCUGGCUUGAGCCGGGACUCCCGCGUGCCGCGGUGGGCUGGCAUUCGACAGGGGGUGCACGG